AAUAUUUUGACCCAAAUGUUGAAAUAUAUUUAGGAUAUUGUUUACCUCACACACGGUUAUUUAAAUUAAAAGCUAUUAAUCAAAAGGAAUAGAAAGUUUAAACGAAUCCCUAUAUUAGUUUUAGAAGGAAAAUGAAACAAAAAAGGACAAAGUUGGUAAAAAGAAAGGCACCACAGUAUAAGAUUAAAGUAUGAGGAGAAAAGGUUAAAAAAACAAGCUUGUUCUAUCAAGACAAAAGAGAAGCAAAGCAGAAUGCUGGUGUUUCGGGGCUUUCCUCUACAGAUGAUGAUGAUGCAGAAUAGUAUUGGUCCAGUUCAGAAACAAGUCCUUCUGAAACGUAUGAACAAAGAAGAAAACAGUUAUCAGAGGAUUGAUUGCGGGAUUUCAAAACACUGUGCUUUAUUCAGUGUGCAAUAUGUCGCAUUAUACAAUUUGAAACUCUUUUUUACAAUUCACGAAUUGAAAAUUAUUGGCAGGGGGCAGAACAUUUCAAUCAACACUUCCAUGUUUUAGUAACCUAUGCUCAUCAUUCGUUUUACAAUAUUUUUAUCUCCUUUUAAACUAUGGAGCAAAUUAUUACUUGCCUGUAUGAAUAUCCGCUGCUGCCUAUGUUUAACCCCUGCUGUGUAGCUGUUCAACAAAGUUAGGCUAAAUAGUUUUUUUUCUUAGUUAGCAUUGUGCAAUAAUUAACAAAAAGUUUAAGUUUAGAAUUUUAUUGAUGGUUAAGACCUGAUCCCUGAGAUUUGUUGGGUUAUUAGUAAAAUAUUUUAUCUCUCUUAUUCCUUUAUAUUUCAGUAGGAUAGGUAAUUUAAACAAAAAUAGGUCAAAAUACUGAAAUCAAAUACUGAAAAUGCCCAAGUUUGUGAAAAGAACACGUUCUGAUUUACUGCAGCUUGAAAAAGACAUAUUAAAUAAAUUUUGGUCAACUGGUAUGACCAACACAACCUCAGGUUUAGUUGACCAAGCAAGCAAGGAAAGUGGUCUUCCUGUGCAAAAAAUUAAGAGAUGGAUAACCAACAAAAAAAAUUCAAAACCUAGACCUAAAAUUAGUUACCAACCAGAAAGAAAAUUGUCAGGCUAUAAUUUGUUUGUGAGAAGUUUAAGAAAUGUUGGUGAGAUGCACAUUAUAAAGUUUAGUAUUCAUAGUUUUGUAUCAACUAUUCAGUCUUAAAAGGUAUUGUAUGAUUGAUAAGGUUAGUUACUUUUUAUGAAAGGUAGUGGCAGUGUGUAACGAUUAACUUUUUUAAAUCGAAUUAUUUAUUUUUAAAAGAGACA